GUGAUCGACCAUAAGGGAUAGUCUUUCAGAUUAUUCUGGUCACGGAUAGUCAUUUUACUUGUUAGACAAUUUGCACUUAAUUGUGUAGAUUGAUCGAAUCAAGUAACAGACCUUGAGAAAAUUUGAGUGCUCAAAGCAAGCUUUGGCAUUGAAUUUUAAAGCAUGGAAUUAAGGAGUAGGACCAGUUUUGGUCGUGAACCAUCUGGUAAUGAUUAAAAGGAACAGACGGGGGCAUUCGUAUUGCUCGGGGAGGGGUGAAAUCCGUAGAUCCCAGCAAGACGUCCUACUGCGAAAGCAUUUGCCAAGAAUGUUUUCAUUAAUCAAGAACGAAAGUUAGAGUAUUAAAGAGGAUUAGAUACCCUCGUAAUUCUAACCUUUAAACUAUACCAUCUAACUCUUAGUCAAUGUAAUUUUACUU
rnacentral:rRNA from 1 species